AAGAAAAGGAGCAAUGCCUUCAAAAUCCCGAACAAAAUGAUUUCCAACCUAGAAUUCCGAAACCAGGCAAGCUUGCAAUCAAAGUUAAAGGUAAAAUAAAGGCAAUCUCGGGAGACAGGAGCCAACCAGGGCUGCAUUGGAGGUUGAAAUCACAAAGAUUAGACACCUUUUUAGACAGGUGUUCUUCAGCACCACUGACAACACAGUUCUGACAGUAUUUCAUGACAAUGGAUGGUGAUAGUUCUACAACAGAUGCUUCUCAACUAGGAAUCUCUGCAGACUAUAUUGGAGGAAGUCAUUAUGUUAUAUACCCUCAUGAUGAUACUGAGGACAGCAUGAAUGAUCAUGAGGACACAAAUGGUUCAAAAGAAAGUUUCAGAGAACAAGAUGUAUAUCUUCCAAUAGCAAAUGUGGCUAGGAUAAUGAAAAAUGCCAUCCCUCAAACGGGAAAGAUUACAAAAGAUGCCAAAGAAUGUGUUCAAGAGUGUGUGAGUGAGUUCCUCAGCUUUAUAGAACAUCUGAGGCAAGCGAAAGGUGCCAUCAAGAGAAGCGAAAAACAAUCAAUGGAGAAGAUAUUCUCUUUGCUAUGUCUACCUUAGGCUUUGACAGUUAGGUGAAACCUCUGAAAUUAUACCUUCAGAAAUUCAGAAAGGCUAUGAAAGGAGAAAAGGGAAUUGGUGGAGCAGUCACAGCUACAGAUGGACUAAGUGAAGAGCUUACAGAGGAGGCAUUUACUAACCAGUUACCAGCUGGCUUAAUAACCACAGACGGUCAACAACAAAAUGUUAUGGUUUACACAACAUCAUAUCAACAGAUUCGGUGUUCAGCAAAUUCAGUUUUCACGAUCUGAAGAAAUGAUGGAAUGGGGAGUGUAGAGAAAUGAGAGUCUGUAUGAUUCUGGAACAGAGGCAUCAGAAGGAAAGACAGUGAAAAGAUGUAUUUUUGUAUAUUAAUAGCUGCAAUGUAGUUUCCUGAUGCUUGACUAAUUGAGGUGUUAAUUCUGACUUGAGAAUCUUUUUCAUGAAUGAUUUUAAAGAAAAAUUUGGAUUUUAAAGGUAUUAAAAUACUUUUGUUUUGUACGAGAGUUUGUUGCUCUGUAUGACUCCUGUAUGCAUUGCACGUUGCAAUUUAUUACUGUCAGAGAUUUGUAGACAGUUUCUUAUUUUCAUAUUGAAUCAUGUUACUUUUGUAAUUCAAGUAAGCAGCUGGGUUAAUUCAUGAUGUUUGCCCUUUUAAUAAAAUAUAAGGGUAGAGUUCAUUUUGAAUGCAAGUUGCCUUUAUUACAAAUUUGAGUUUGUCUUGGUUAUACCUUGCAUGAUAACCUAGCUAGAUUUCUAGCAUUUGCUGUAUUUAUUAAAGUUAUUUUUUUUGGUAAAACAUUAAUAGUUUAAGCAGCAUCAUUUUUUUGAAAAAUAUAAUUGAAUAAGUGUGAAUGCAGAAGCAAAUAUUGUCUGCCCUGUUAAACUUGGUGCCCGUUAACAGUGUUUACACUGUUCAUCGUGCCUGUUAAUGUAGUUUUAGUUAUUGGAGCUUUUUUAAGACUAGAUUUGGUUUUGAGUUACAUUUUUAAGAAUGUUGGAAUACAUUUAAAUUUAAUGUAGUCCUAGUGCUCUUGAAAUGGUGCCCCUUUCAUUUGGUACAUGAUUUUGUUUCAAAUCAUAUAUUCAAGUACUAUAGCAUCCUCUUACAGAAGAGGAAUUUUAUAGUCUGAUGGUAAAUGUCUUCAUUUUACCUUUUUAAUUGAAAUGUCAAGUUUCCUGUUAUACUAUGGAAACCAAGACACAUCAGACAUCAUUGCGUGUACAGACCUUUUGCAUGGGUGAGUGAAUGAAAUGGAGAACCGAGUGAGUGCUGUGAACGGUGUGAAAUAGAAGCUGCCAACUUCUAGUGUGUUGUCUUCAUCUCUGCAAUAAACUAAACUUACAUAACGUAACUUUGUAUAAUUUAGUAGUAUGUACUUGGAUUGUUUCUUUUUGAAAAGUGAGGAUUUGUAUUUUCUCAUCUAUUCUUUUUGGUAUUAAGUUGAGGGAUGUUUUUUAAGUUUUUAAAUAUCAAAAAUUGCUAUUGUAUAGUUUGCCUAAAAGGAAGUUGGAGUGAAUAUCAUCUUUGAAGGACACUCAAAUUUAUAAGGUAGAAGCAAUUUCCCAGAUAUAGGCUGAAUAGAAACAUUUACUUUGUCAGAAGGACCGUUAGGAGUAUAUUUGGGCUAAUCAGAGGUUAAUAAUGCCCUCAUCUCCUACUAUCCAUUUAAAAAGCAAUCUUCAUUAUAGUAAAUUCAAAUAGGAAAAAAUGGGGGAGUAGUUAAGCAAAAUCAACAAUCAUCCCACUAUGUUAAAAGAACCAAUGUUAAUAUUUUGAUAAACAUCAUUUGUCCGUUUACUUUGCUAAAUAUGUAUAUUUUUAUAAAAAUGGGCUCAUAUUGUGCAUACCGUUUUGUAACCUGCUUUUUUCACUUAACAAUAUAUUGGGAACAUCUUUUCCAGGUCAAAAAAAAGGCAAUCUCAGACAAACGUUUUCCAAAAAAAUUUCUCCAUGUACCCUUUCUCAAGAAGCUACUAGAAAAAGUAUUCCACCAAAAUGUGAGAGUAAACCAAGGAAGAAGAACAUGAGAAGACACAGAGUUAUAGGUAGCAGAAGACUCGAUCCGGGAGAAAUGUGGAGGCUCCAGAGAGACAGCUGCCAGCUGGCCUAAGGGCAAGCAGUCCAGACCAGAGCAGAGCAGAGCAGGACGACAGACGGCUGAAGACGUAUGCCUCCAAGCCAAAAAAAAAAAAAAAAGGAACAGAUUCCUUACUUUGACCAUAUUGAGAAGGAUUUUAUGG